rnacentral:rRNA from 1 species
GAUGAACGCUAGCGGGAGGCCUAACACAUGCAAGCCGAGCGGUAUUGUUUCUUCGGAAAUGAGAGAGCGGCGUACGGGUGCGGAACACGUGUGCAACCUGCCUUUAUCUGGGGGAUAGCCUUUCGAAAGGAAGAUUAAUACUCCAUAAUAUAUUGAACGGCAUCGUUUAAUAUUGAAAGCUCCGGCGGAUAGAGAUGGGCACGCGCAAGAUUAGCUAGUUGGUGAGGUAACGGCUCACCAAGGCGAUGAUCUUUAGGGGGCCUGAGAGGGUGAUCCCCCACACUGGUACUGAGACACGGACCAGACUCCUACGGGAGGCAGCAGUGAGGAAUAUUGGUCAAUGGGUGCAAGCCUGAACCAGCCAUCCCGCGUGAAGGACGACUGCCCUAUGGGUUGUAAACUUCUUUUGUAUAGGGAUAAACCUACCCUCGUGAGGGUAGCUGAAGGUACUAUACGAAUAAGCACCGGCUAACUCCGUGCCAGCAGCCGCGGUAAUACGGAGGGUGCAAGCGUUAUCCGGAUUUAUUGGGUUUAAAGGGUCCGUAGGCGGACUUAUAAGUCAGUGGUGAAAGCCUGUCGCUUAACGAUAGAACUGCCAUUGAUACUGUAAGUCUUGAGUAUAUUUGAGGUAGCUGGAAUAAGUAGUGUAGCGGUGAAAUGCAUAGAUAUUACUUAGAACACCAAUUGCGAAGGCAGGUUACCAAGAUAUAACUGGCGCUGAGGGACGAAAGCGUGGGGAGCGAACAGGAUUAGAUACCCUGGUAGUCCACGCCGUAAACGAUGCUAACUCGUUUUUGGGCUUUAGGGUUCAGAGACCAAGCGAAAGUGAUAAGUUAGCCACCUGGGGAGUACGCUCGCGAGAGUGAAACUCAAAGGAAUUGACGGGGGCCCGCACAAGCGGUGGAUUAUGUGGUUUAAUUCGAUGAUACGCGAGGAACCUUACCAAGACUUAAAUGGGAAUUGACAGCUUUAGAAAUAGAGCUUUCUUCGGACAAUUUUCAAGGUGCUGCAUGGUUGUCGUCAGCUCGUGCCGUGAGGUGUUAGGUUAAGUCCUGCAACGAGCGCAACCCCUGUCACUAGUUGCCAUCAUUCAGUUGGGGACUCUAGUGAGACUGCCUACGCAAGUAGAGAGGAAGGUGGGGAUGACGUCAAAUCAUCACGGCCCUUACGUCUUGGGCCACACACGUAAUACAAUGGCCGGUACAGAGGGCAGCUACACAGCGAUGUGAUGCAAAUCUCGAAAGCCGGUCUCAGUUCGGAUUGGAGUCUGCAACUCGACUCUAUGAAGCUGGAAUCGCUAGUAAUCGCGCAUCAGCCAUGGCGCGGUGAAUACGUUCCCGGGCCU